CUGGCCCCAGAAAGCAAUUCUUGAUUCCCUUACAGGAAAAGAAAGAAUGCCACAAUCCCACCGACUCAAAAGCAACUAGAAGCCAGGCACAGUGGCUCACUCCAAUAAUCCCAACACUUUGGGAGGUCCAGGUGGGAGGACUGCUUGAGGCCAGGAGUUCAAGGACAGCUUGGACAACAUAGAUAACUGCAGUCUCAGAGAAGACCCCCAGAAACCCAAAAUGCUUCCAGCCACAGAGGAGGAGAGCAGCUGGCAGCCAGAAGCAUCCAUUCCAACUGAGAGACAUCGAAGGGAACAAGGCUUAACCGCCUUGUCUUUGAACAGCACUAAAUGAUUCAGCAAAAGGGAUGAGAGGAAACCUUUGGCCAUGUCACGGGUUCACAGCCAUCUGUAUAUGUUCCUAUAGUCCUGCUUUGUACCUCCAGCCUAAAUGAUGGGGAGGUCGUUUGAAGAUGAGACUGACCCUUCACUACAUGUGCUGCUUCCAACCCCAGAUUCCAUCAGGCUGCACUUCUGAGAUUCAGUGAACUCCCACUCAUCCUUCAAAACCUAUCUCAAUGUCGCUGCCAUAGCAAAGCCUUCCCUGGCCCCCUCGGGUAGGGAGGGUCUCUCUGUCCACUGGCAGGCCAAGAAGGCCAAGCUCUGCCCUCUGAGAAUCCAUCAGUGUCCCAAGCUGACUUUCCCUAGCCUCGUAUCCCUUCAUUCCAUGAAAGGGGAACUUAGGGUGGAGUGGAAAUUUUGAUCACCUAAAGGAACAAUAAUUGCUUUCAUUCAUUCAUUUAAACAAUAUGUAUUGAGCACCUACCAAGGACCAGGCCUUGUGCUAAGUGCCCCCACAGAGGUCACAAUAGUCAUAUACUACAAACAAAUACAGCAUCACAAAGGUUGGCGCAUGAAGAGACAGCAGCUAAGGGCAUGGUCCUGGAGCCAGAAUGCCUGGAUUUGAAUCACAGCUCUACUACUUCCCAGCAGCUUGUUGAGCUUAGCCAAGUCUCUAAACCCCUCUGAGCCUCAGCUUUAUCACCUGUAAAAUAGGGAUAAAAA
rnacentral:lncRNA from 1 species